GACGAACGCUGGCGGCGUGCCUAAUACAUGCAAGUCGAACGCAGUUGCGAACGGGUGAGUAACGCGUAGGUAACUUCCUUACAGCGGGGGAUAACUAUUGGAAACGCUAGCUAAUACCGCAUAUUUUGAGAUGGACCUGCGUUGUAUUAGCCAGUUGGUGAGGUAAAGGCUCACCAAGGCGACGAUACAUAGCCGACCUGAAAGGGGGGUCGGCCAACAUUGGACUGGAGAACGGCCCAGGAUCCUACGGGAGGCAACAGUAGGGGAUCUUCGGGCAAGGACGGAAGUCUGACCGAGCAACGCCGCGUGAAUGAAAAAAGUUUUCGGGUCGUAAAACUCUGUUGGUAGAGAAGCGGUAACUAACCAGAAAGGGACGGCUAACUACGUGCCAGCAGCCGCGGUAAUAC
rnacentral:rRNA from 1 species